UGGCAGGAGGCAAGUUUAACUUGGGUUGUGUGGCUGAGAUCCUUUCAUUGCGUUGACAGCCCCGAGUCCUGCCAACAGAGCAGCGCUCUCGGCAGUGCGUUCCUGUUGGUGGCUUCUGUGCUAAGUCCAACUUAAACAAUUCCACUGGGGCCUGACAAAGGGAAUGGAUAAAAAUGAACAAGGUCUGCAUUACUUAAGCAGUCUUUUGUGGGCAAGAUAUCCAGAGCCUGGUCAUAAGUAAUGAGUUUUCAUUCGAGGAGUAGCUUCUCUGGGUUAGUAAGAAUUCUGUUAGUUAUUAAUCUCUAAUUAUCUUUUUUAAUAUUCACAUGGGAAAUGUUUCUAUUUUUAUUGUCUGUAUCUGUUUCUUCACAUUGUUUCAGGCCAGGUUUUUUUGACAGGUUUAUUGUUUGGGUUAUGCUGUAGUCAUUAGGAUUUAAAUCUAUAGGUUGUUCUGGAGUUACUAUGGCCCAUUUGGGAAUGUCAGUUACACAAACUUCCAGCAAAUAAGCAACAUUGUGACUUGAGCUGGGGCUUGGAGAUGAACAUGAACCCAGCCUACAGCACUAUCAAAUCCAUUUCUGGGGUGAAGGCCACUAGUUCUGGCAAAGAUGCCCUGUAUUCAAGCCUUUUAGACCAGUGUUUGCUAAACUAUCUUAAAAUAGACCUUUAAGCUUUGUUGUUUCGUGGCAGAAGUUUGGGCAAACUGCAUUCUCACCUAUAUUCUGUGUUUCCCUUGAUGCAUUAAAAAUGAGUACUUAAACAAGACCAUCAACUGAAAAUCUACAAAAAAGUAAUUCCUUAUUCAGGAGUACUUGAGGCCUUUGUUCAGUUGCACGGGAUUGGGGGAGUUUGUUUCUUUGUAUCAAGACUACACUCUGACCUCUCUUUUCUUCUGCAUUCAAAACCUAAUGUCACCCUGCCCAGGAUUAUCUGGAUCUGCUUUUGAGUAUCAAGACCAAUGAACUGGUGAGAAGGAAAGCUGUGGGGAAACAAGGCAAAUCCAAAAUGAGAUGAGGUUCCAUUCUCUACUCCAGUCUCCACUUGUAUUUAUUCUGGUUUACAGCGGGCUUCUUUUGGCAAGGACAGAUUCACUGCUUGAGCUUUGGCACAGCAUUUCAGACAGGGAGGAGAUCUGGGACAGGAGACCACAGAGUAAGAAAAUGUACCUUGCAUUCAGUUUUCAUUGAACAAAAGGAUUUCUCCAUUCCCUUCGAAUGUUCUCUUUCGUAUCAUGAUGGCUUUGCAAGAUGAAAUACCUUCUGUCCUAUCUGUGUGUUGCUGUCGUUCACAAGAGUCCUAGAGGCAGCUAAAUGUAUGGUUUAGUGUGUGGAUGAAUUAACAUUUUAGUUUUAGUACAUCCUACCCCAUAAUUAUACUGAAUUGGUUUUGGAGAGACUGAAAGCCUAUCUGCUCCCCCAAAAUAAUGGGUUUGGCUUCAAAUAAACGACAGGACAACAGUGACACUGAAAUCCUCCAGAGCAGAGAGUAGCCAGGAGCAAUUCUAAGUACUGGGAAUUCAACAGGUUUUGAUAUUUGAUGAUUUCUUAUCCUAACAGAAAGCAUUUUCUUUUGUGUCCCCUUUAUUUUCCUAGAAGCUAGACUUUGCUCUCAGAGAAAAGAGGUCGUAGGAUCAAAAGAUCUAGAAAAUCAGCCUUGUUGUUCUGUGUCUGCAUUUUUUCCAUCUUCAGGCUCUAACUCAGCCCUGCUGUUUAUGUAAAAGUGCAAAUUCAGAAGGAAUAGUUCAAAGUUUGACUUUUGGCUUUCAGAGGCUGCAGAAUUCUGUUCUCUUUAUAUCCAGUGUGUUCAUUUAAAUAUCUGUCUGCAGCCUCACCUGCAGUGUGUUCCAGUACUCCCUCCUGCUUCUCCCAUUGUCUGUGAUAUCCUUGAUCAAUCCAUGAGGGAAACAGCACUGUUGUGUUAUGUGCAGCUCAAACUGGAGUACAGCUUCAGUCCAGAAAACAAACCCAGAGAUUGUCCCUUCCUUGCCUUUGGCCUCUCAGAUCUCCUGUGAGUAGGAUACCACACACAUUCUAUGACUUACCAGAAGAGGAAGUAUUGGGAAAUUUUGUUUCCUAGAAGAGAUAAUAGAAGUGGCAAUAAAACCCAAACCAACAGAGAAAGAAAAGCCUCUUUUGAAAUCUUGACACUCUGUUAUGCUGCUCUUACUCGUUAAUAUUUGGUUCAUGGCCAGCACUGCCAUGAGGGUUGGGUGAAGUGUCACCGAGACUGGUGGAUGCAACCUCUGUCCUUCAUUCUCAGCAGCAAAACCACUUGAGCUUCUUUACAAAACAGAAGUUGUUUUAACACAAAACACAGGCAUGAGAUCCCAGCAGAGCAGAGCCACGAGCAGAGCUACAAGAUUGGAUCAGUAUGAGAGAAAGGGAUUUCCUUGGUGGUUUCUGUGCUCUGUGACAGAGGUCAGGAGUCACUGCCACCACAUUUAAGCACUGUGCUCUGGAGUGUGGCAGAGCCUGCUCUGCCCAUGCCAGGAGGAAUGCCAGCAGCAGCGCCUUGAUCCAGGAGCUGAGCUGGACCUCCCAGCAGGUGCCUCCAGGUGAAAAUCUCCUUUGGACUGUGCUGUGGUGGUCAGUCACUGGGGUGAUUUACUGACACCAGUGUGAGCUGCUCUGCAACCAGCAAAAACCUGAGCAUGUCAGAAAUUCCCAUUUCCACCACAGAGAAAGCUGAUUUGCUACUGUAGCCCAGUGAAAAUCAGGCACAUUAUGAUUUCUCUUCUGAGUCCAGGGGCGUCUCACUGACUCCUCUGCCAUGGUGGGAGAUGGAACCUUUCCUGAGCAUUUAGCAGCCAGUAGAGCCUCUGGGAGGCCGAGCAAUGGAUUAUGGGCACCCUCUGGCAGGCACCAGGCAGCUGAGACCUGCCUGCCUCCAGCUAGCACUGACUGCUCCUUGUUCUAACCACACCUGCGGGAGCGAAGGAGGGAGUUCAGCCAGUUGUUAGGAUGCUUAUGGAAUCCCACAGGACAUUUCCACAAAAUUGACAACUGUACUAGCAAGUACUUUUUUGUGUCUGCUCGAGGGACUGGGAUGUUUAAGUUAUUAUCUGCAACAAGGACUUCAGGCUUAAUAUGCUCAGAGUGCUUGUGGAGGCCAUAUAAUCAAUGGGAAGGGUCACGUAGUGUCAGCCAGCAAGAUUUGUUGUGAACAGGAUUGCAGAAUAAUCAUAUUUGGAAUGCCUCCACGGAUUUUAAAGAUGGUGAGCCCUUUCCUUUAACUGCACAGGCUAUUCAAAUUCCUGGCUCCACUGGCUUCUGUAACUUCAUUGACUAUGCAACUGGUCUAUAGUAUUUGCUUAGGGGAUUCAUAAAUUUUAUUAAAAGCAUCAUUUUUUUUCUGAUGGGUGAAAAUACAAGCACCUGUAUAAUUUCACAAAAUGUGAUUUUAUUGUCAGAAAAGUGCCAUUGAUGCAUAUGGUAAUCAAAGUGCAAGCAGUGGCAGGAGUAUCACUGCAGAGCCACUAAAUUAAGGCAUUAAAAUAACAGAUGAGGGAAAGUUCAGCCAUGACCUUGUAAGUGAAUGCUUCUCAUCAUGGGCAAGGCUCCUCAACAGCCUGGGGGAUGGAGUUGCCUCCCACCACCUUCCCACUUCCCAGAAGGGGAUGAAUGGUGCUCCAUCUCAGCUGGAAGGAGCUGUGACAGAAGUGGCAAUAUGUGCUGUUCCACCAGGACGGGCUCAGAAGAGUUCAGAGGAGCAGAACAGCAGCUCUAGUGCUGUCUCCUCUCCGGCCUGGUUUUCUUCUUCACUGUGGCCAUGGGCUGCUCCUUCAACCUCCAGACCCUUUUAUAGUCUGUUGUUUCCAGCUAGGCCAUUCCUCGCCACUAAGGGCAUUUUUUUACAGGCUCUGGAGAGAAAUGGAGCCUUUUGCCUGCCAACUUUUGAUGACCAUAUGGCUUUCCUGUUUCCCAUGUUUCAGCAAAGCCUUGAGGAGUUUCCUAAACAGCUUCCCCUCUUCUCUACCCCUUCGCCUCUCACUUCCCUCCUCACUCUGGGCAGCAGUUAACACCCAGCUGCUGGAUGGUUUGGCUGCGUGAAUUGACAGCCCUGCUGGAUGAUAAAUUAACAAGCCCUUAUUCAUUAUUCAGCUUUGCGACAGUUUUUAUAAAAUACUCCUCAGUUUUAUACCCCAGAGCCUUUUCCCAUUUGUGCUCUACCUUGGAGACUCUUUCCCAUUCUGAACAUGGAGUACAAGAAACCUCCAUCACUCCAGGGGUGGUCUCAGGUGACCAAGACCAGCCGGGCUGUUUCUCCACUGCCCUGCAUUUCACAUCCAGCAGGGCUGUACAUGGUCAGCCUUCAGAAUGGAACCCGCUGAAGUCCAGUUAGGAAAUGGCAUCAUAUGUGCACUGCUACAGCCUGAAUGUUCAUUGGAGGGCACGACCCUGCCCAUGAACCAAAGGUAUCCUGCUUUUUGAGGAAGGCCAAGGCAAGCCCAGGAAGUGACACACCGCUGGAGUUUACCAGACUAACACCUCCCACUGUUGUGCAGCUGGAGUGGCACAGCUGCCACUGUGCAAAGCAACAAGAAGGUUCUCCUGACCUUAGUAUGUUGGGGACAGGCCAGAGUAAUUUAUGUACCUAAAAAUCCCAUUUUAUAUCCCCUGGGAAGAUGGUUGAGCAUUUUUUUUUUUUUUUUUUUUUUUUUGUUUUGUUUUGGGGUUUUUUUUGUUCUGCUAAUGUUGUUUACAGCAAGUUGUGGGUCUGUGGGACUAAUCUUACCUGUGCCUUGUGAACUAUGGUGUGCCAUGUGGCGUCUUGUUUACUUACUCCUAAAGUUGAUCAGAAAAACACCCUGGUAAUGUUUUGCAAGAGUUGAUAAAACUGCCUAAGAUUUUACUGGGAGCCCAUGGAGAAGUCGGGAUGGAGACAGAACGGUCACUGAUGGAGUUUGGGCAGAGGCUUUGAGAUGCACUUCAGAGACAGCACUGCCACUGUAGCAUUGUCUUCUGUCUGAGCAGUAUGAGACUGUGCAGAUAAUUUCAGUCAAAAACCCUAUUUACCCCUUCAAGGGAGAUGGAGUCUGUUCCUUGACCUUUGCCAAGCCACCUUCAAGACCUUGACAUCUCUCUGCCACUGCAGGAACCUCAUGGCCUUGCCGGGCCUCUUUUUGUAGGAAUGACCUAAAAUCUUCUCCUUCCUAUGCUCAAACCCCAAGAUUUCUCCUCUUUCCUAUCUCCCCCCCAGGGCUAGGAGGUCUUUAGCACAGGCCCAGUGAGAUGUAUGAGAAAGAAGCCUGGCAAAUGGUUUAAAUUAACAGCUAUAGUGGUUGUGCCAACUCCUGCAGCAGGAGAGUGCCAAGAUCCAGAAUGUGGCUGCUCACCAGCAUUUGGCAAGGCAGUGACAUCUUGUCACCGCUAUCCCUGAGCACUGAGGCCCACACAGGUACACCGACCAGUUGGCUGGGGCAGGAUGCAAGGCAGGGUGGGAAAGGAGAGGGAAGACUGCCAAACUUCUCCCAGGGAAAGUCACAGCCAUGAUUCUUCAAAAUCAUCUGCUCCAAUGUGACGUUACUCCUGACUGCAAACAGAAUCGAGUCUCCAAAGCUGUUUACCAGUUACACUGAUGUGGGUUCAAUCUUCCCUACCUGGGUAGCCAAGUUUGCACUGGUAAAUAAAGAGUGAGUACAUAAACUUAGCAAAGGAGAAAACCAUCCACUUUCAGUAAAGCUUGAUCCUGCCACAGAAGACUGUGAGAGAGCUUUGGACCUAAGUGCUGACUGUUGGGAAGGUGCCUAAAGCUAGAGAGAAAAAAAUCCCCAACAUAUAAAAAGGAAGUCUGUUUUUACAUUUAAUUCCUCCUGGGUCCAGAGAAGCAGGGGUUUAUAUUUUCAUUAUAAAUAAGCUAGAAAGCAUCUACAUAGUGAAAUCCAUAUUCCCAGUUGGGAAGAACCUGCAGGUCAACUAUGGUCAACUUUCCCUUUGAAAGCACUACCAUUACAAGUUAGCGAACAGUUCAUGAGUCCUUUUGUUGUAGCCACAUUACUCACAGCUCAGUGCCACUCUGCUGCCUUCUUUCACCCACAGGGAUGCCCAGACCUUUGACUUCAGAGACUGCUGCAGGGCAUCAGAGUUCUCCAGCCAGAAGAUCAUGAAGAUACUUCGUACUGAUGCUCCUUUCCCUGUCUGAAAAUUUUUUCCACUGCCAAAGUCUUCCAAAACAUUCCCUUUGAAUGUUUCCCCUUUUCUAGGAAACACACAAGUCCUGUGCUACUGUGUAGUUGCUGGAAACAUCACAACUGUCUGCAGCUUUUACACAGGUGAGAAUUCACUGCAAUUUCCUACACGAGUUGAAGUUUGGUGCUGUGGCACAGCUUUCUCCUGAGGUGGAUGUUAAGUUUGGCAAAAGGCUGGCUGAUUGCAAAGGGAUGUUGCCCAUUGACCCAGUAUGGUAAUUGCAUAUCAAAAAUACAUUUGAAUAAAGAGGUUCAAGAGACAUUUUAUUAGAGCAGCCACAGAAAAGUUAAAAGUCAUGUUCCUCUGCAGGACACAGUCCAAGCCUUCUAUACAGCAGCCAUCAAAGUGGUAUUUUUUCUGCCUUUGCCCAUAACUCUCCAGCAAAAAUAAAACUGCAGGUAUGUUUCCACAGGAGAACCUUUAUCUUCUGCCAUUUCCAAACUAAGUGGCUGGAAUCAGUUAUGUAAGAAAAAGGAAAUUUGAAUUUUAUUUUGCAAGUACAAACUUAAACCAAGUGAACUGUUAUUUGUAUUUUAUUUGCUCUAUAAAAGCCUAGGCGUACAAAGAACUUUUUACUGGAUAUAAAACCCCACAUUUUCUUUUCAGGUGUCCAUAGAAACACUAGUUUAGCUGAAAAUAAAUAUAAAACCUGCAAAAUACCUUAAUUUAGUUUUGCUAAGAAUUAUAAGAAGGAUGGGGGUGAAGGGUGGACUAGUUCCUCUUCAUUUCAAGCUUGUUGCUUUAAUUCCAUGUUGCAUAUGAAGCAACAAACAAAAACUCUAUGGAAUGUAAAAAGUUCCUAUGCCUACAAAAGCCUUAACAAUACCACACUGAGCUGAAGAACAACGGCACUGACAUGAAAGGAUUUUCAUUUCUAAGAAAUACCUGGCUGCAUUGGAGUUUAGGAAUACAUGCAUUCCAUCCCCUUCUGCAGGGCUGAUUUCCAGCAGCACAGACCUACUAACCCAAAAUGAGCUUCCUCCCUGGGAGUCUGAGCUGCAGCAGCACAGGGCACUCCAGGUGAGACAGUGGGAUGGAGACGGGGUGGUAACUUGGGUCUGGGUGAAAGAGGAGAAUCUGCAUUUAACAGCACAGACUAAGUAUUAUGCCACGUUUAAAAUACCGUUCCCAGCUCACAGUGACAAACUGCAUUCUCCGCUAACCACAAUUUUUGUACAAAAUUUUGAGAAAAUUCUCCAUUUAGAAAAUGGUAAACUCCCUUUUUCAUACUCGCAGUGCAUUAAGGUACAAACAAAAUUGCUGCUUCCCAGGUUCUUUAUCACUGCAUCUUUCUUAGACUUGUAUCCUAAAGGUUCAUCUUUCUUAGACUUGUAUCCUAAAGGUUCAUUUUUCCAAAUGGCAUAAUUUUGGCAGAGGUUGAGGUCAGCGCACUCCCAGAUUGCAUACUGCCUAUCCCUCCUGUAGUAUUACAGGGAUAUGUAGAUGUUCAGCACCUUGAAAUCCAGGCUUGUUAUUCAGCUAAAACAAAUGUGCAGAGCAUGAACAUUACAAUUAUCAGAAAAUUAAAAAAAUCUGUCUGCAUUCAAAGCAAAAAUAAAACCGGGAAAUUUCGAAAUUUCCUGAGGUGCUCUUUUUGAUCAACUGGAACUUUGGCUUCCAUUCAAUUUAGGCAUUUCUUCUGUAGUACAAUGCAAAAUACAAACUACAUUGUGAAUAAUAUAAAAGCAUUUUUUCCAGACGGGAAUGCCGGAACAUAUCUAUUGGGUUUUUUUCUCAAGCAUAUUUUUUAGCAAGUAUGAUUUUCUGAAGCAGUUAAUAAUCAGUGGAGCUGUAUUCUCCAAUAGAAAGAGGGCUGCUUUUUUCCUAGUAGAAAUUACAUAUUCCUAUAAUUUUCAUAUUUUAGAGUUCUGUAGUUCUACUUGAACCUUCCUGUUCUCUUUUAGAAAAAAUUCAAGAAAGCCCUUUAUAAUAAUUCCUCGUGGAAGUGCCUACUCAUGGUAGACCAUCUAACUCAGGUCCAGUCUAGGCUAAAUUGUUGCUGUAUAUUUUUUCAUGUAUUUGUGUACUUAUGCAAGUCUGAAUUAAAAUACAUGUUUUGAUGGAAGAGAAAGCACACAUGAAACCACAAUCUAAAAACUCAUCAGCUCUGUGGAGAUGUUGAAAAGGCAAAGUUCACUCGUGUCACAGUAAAGGAACAGACGGUGUGAAGAAGUGAUCAGAUGGAAGGUAUGAAAUGAAGGGGGGGAAAAAGGAAGUUUUCCUACAGAAAGAAUAAUUAAACUGAACUGAUUGUGAACAGACACAGUGGAACCCAAGAGGGUAAAUGAACUAUACACAGCUGGGAAUCCAGGCAUACAUUCAGCUUGAAAAAGCUGCCUCAGAAGUCGGGAAAUUCAAAAGUAGGUGUCUCACAACAGAGUUUUUUAGGCACCUUCCCCAAAAAGAUGGAUACUCAAAAGAGCUAGAUACUUCUUAACAUGCAUUUUUGUUAAUAAUCUGCUCAAUCUAAACUAUAAAACGUGCUGUGCAACAUGACUGAACGAAUAUCGCUGUGAGAAAUAUUUCCCCCAUGUUUGAGUAAUUUGAAUUUGUAAGCUAAUGUAAGUUUUUGUAUUAAAUAGUGUUCUGUGUGCAA